UUGUGAUGAAGUACUUAGAACUAUAAAGUAAUCGAUAAAGGAAGAUUUAUCAUAUAGUUCUUAAACAUGUUUAUAACUAAAUGAUACUCAUUAAAGGAUGAUGAUGUUUAUUGAGUGAAGGUUGUUAUGUGUCAUAUGGGUUAGUUGUCCUCUUAACCAAGGAGUGUAGAGACAUUGGUAUAGCAUAUAAAUAAGAUAUAGGAGUACAUCGUCACUGAACAAGUGACUCAACUACUGAGCACUGCUGUUAAGAGUAGCUCAUGAAGUGCAUGGGUAUAAGUAUCCCUCUGACCUA
rnacentral:lncRNA from 1 species